rnacentral:rRNA from 1 species
CGGGUGCCUUACACAUGCAAGUCGAACGGCAGCACGGGUGCUUGCACCUGGUGGCGAGUGGCGAACGGGUGAGUAAUACAUCGGAACAUGUCCUGUAGUGGGGGAUAGCCCGGCGAARGCCGGAUUAAUACCGCAUACGAUCUACGGAUGAAAGCGGGGGACCUUCGGGCCUCGCGCUAUAGGGUUGGCCGAUGGCUGAUUAGCUAGUUGGUGGGGUAAAGGCCUACCAAGGCGACGAUCAGUAGCUGGUCUGAGAGGACGACCAGCCACACUGGGACUGAGACACGGCCCAGACUCCUACGGGAGGCAGCAGUGGGGAAUUUUGGACAAUGGGCGAAAGCCUGAUCCAGCAAUGCCGCGUGUGUGAAGAAGGCCUUCGGGUUGUAAAGCACUUUUGUCCGGAAAGAAAUCCUUGGCUCUAAUACAGUCGGGGGAUGACGGUACCGGAAGAAUAAGCACCGGCAAACUACGUGCCAGCAGCCGCGGGUAAUACA